rnacentral:tRNA from 1 species
GCCGUUGUAGCUCAGUGGUAGAGCGUUGGUCUUGUAAACCAAAGGUCCCUGGUUCGAUCCCGGGCUGCGGCA